GUACACGCUGUGACUAGCAUAUCAAUAAGCGGAGGAAAAGAAACUAACAAGGAUUCCCCUAGUAACGGCGAGUGAAGCGGGAAGAGCUCAAAUUUGAAAUCUUAAAGGGUUUCCCUUUACGAAUUGUAGUUUAAAGAAGUGUUUUCUGUUGAGGUUUUGGUAAAAGUUCUUUGGAAUAGGACAUCAUAGAGGGUGAGAAUCCCGUAUUUGACCUUUACUUUCAACUUUGUGAUACACUUUCAAAGAGUCGGAUUGUUUGGGAAUGCAGUCCAAAAUGGGUGGUAAAUUUCAUCUAAAGCUAAAUAUUGGCGAGAGACCGAUAGUGAGCAAGUACCGUGAGGGAAAGAUGAAAAGAACUUUGAAAAGAGAGUUAAACAGUACGUGAAAUUGUCAAAAGGGAAGCGUUUGACACCAGUGUUGUUUUUCUGAAAAUCAAUUAAAGAACUGUUUAUGCUAAGCUGUUUAGACUUUAUCAGCUAUCUGUUUAGUUUUAGGCUUUUCUUUAAUGCACUUUUCAGUUAACAAGUCAACAUCAAUCUCUUUUGCUGUAAAAAAGCUUGAGGAAGGUGGCUUGAGAUUCGUCUUAAGUGUUUAUAGCCUCUUGCCUAUGCAGUCGGAGAGAUUGAGGUCUGCAGCGUAGAUCCUUCGGGGCUAAAUGCAUUUGUGCUAAGUUAUAGCAUUUUAUAGACAACUUGUUGACUAUGAUUUGUCUUGUAGCUUACUCGCUUAUGUUAUUUUACCUACGCUUAGGAUGUUGAGUCGUAGAGCACGCAG
rnacentral:rRNA from 1 species